AUUGAACGCUGGCGGCAUGCCUUACACAUGCAAGUCGAACGGUAACAGGUCUUCGGAUGCUGACGAGUGGCGAACGGGUGAGUAAUACAUCGGAACGUGCCUAGUAGUGGGGGAUAACUACUCGAAAGAGUGGCUAAUACCGCAUGAGAUCUACGGAUGAAAGCAGGGGAUCGCAAGACCUUGUGCUACUAGAGCGGCCGAUGGCAAAUUAGGUAGUUGGUGGGAUAAAAGCUUACCAAGCCGACGAUCUGUAGCUGGUCUGAGAGGACGAUCAGCCACACUGGGCCUGAGACACGGCCCAGACUCCUACGGGAGGCAGCAGUGGGGAAUUUUGGACAAUGGGCGAAAGCCUGAUCCAGCAAUGCCGCGUGCAGGAUGAAGGCCUUCGGGUUGUAAACUGCUUUUGUACGGAACGAAAAGCCCCGGGUUAAUACCCUGGGGUCAUGACGGUACCGUAAGAAUAAUCACCGGCUAACUACGGGCCAGCCGCCGCCGUAA
rnacentral:rRNA from 1 species